rnacentral:rRNA from 1 species
CCUACGGGAGGCAGCAGUGGGGAAUAUUGCACAAUGGGGGAAACCCUGAUGCAGCGACGUCGCGUGAGUGAUGAAGUAUUUCGGGAUGUAAAGCUCUAUCAGCAGGGAAGAAAAUGACGGUACGUGACUAAGAAGCCCCGGCUAACUACGUGCCAGCAGCCGCGGUAAUACGUAAGGGGCAAGCGUUAUCCGGAUUUACUGGGUGUAAAGGGAGCGUAGACGGCGGUGCAAGCCAGAUGUGAAAGCCCGCGGCUCAACCCCGGGACUGCAUUUGAAACUGUGCUGCUAGAGUGUCGGAGAGGCAGGCGGAAUUCCUAGUGUAGCGGUGAAAUGCUUAGAUAUCAGGAGGAACACCAGUGGCGAAGGCGGCCUGCUGGACGAUGACUGACGUUGAGGCUCGAAAGCGUGGGGAGCAAACAGGAUUAGAUACCCCUGUAGUC